ACCAUCGUUGCUCAAUCCUUGGUGUAGGACGAAUGUUAUGGUUGAGACUUCGCUGAGCUAUUAAAAAUUCUCUGCACGAUCAAGGUUAUCUUUAAUUAAAUACCAAUAUUACAUUCUCCUGACAUGACAGUAAAUUUAGAUUUCAAUUAACUGUACUAACCUGCGAGACUCGGAUAUUAUAUCACUAUGAAGUAAGACAUAGCGAUGUGCCUGUGCCAACGAUUUCUGGUCAAGAACAACACUUUCAACUUUU
rnacentral:lncRNA from 1 species